GAUGAACGCUAGCUACAGGCUUAACACAUGCAAGUCGAGGGACCGGCGCACGGGUGAGUAACACGUAUCCAACCUGCCCUUUACUCGGGGAUAGCCUUUCGAAAGAAAGAUUAAUACCCGAUACAAAGGAUGGGGAUGCGUUCAAUUAGGUUGUUGGUGAGGUAACGGCUCACCACGCCUACGAUGGAUAGGGGUUCGGAGAGGAAGGUCCCCCACAUUGGAACGGAGACACGGUCCAAACACCUACGAGAGGCAGAGGUGAAGAAUAUUGGUCAAUGGGCGAUAGCCAGAACCAGCCAAAGAGCGUGAAGGAUGAAGGAUUAUGGGUCGUAAACUUCUUGUAUAUAAGAAUAUGUAUUAUAUGAAUAAGGAUCGGCUAACUCCGUGCCAGCAGCCGCGGUAAUUG
rnacentral:rRNA from 1 species